rnacentral:rRNA from 1 species
UUCGCAAUGCCCGAAAGGGUGACGAAGUGACGCCGCGUGUGGGAAGAAGGCCUUCGGGUUGUAAACCACUGUUGGGAGUUAGGAAGUGUGGAGGUGUUAAUAGCGCUUUCACUUGACUAAAGCUCCAGAGGAAGCCACGGCUAACUCUGUGCCAGCAGCCGCGGUAAUACAGAGGCGGCAAGCGUUGUUCGGAAUUAUUGGGCGUAAAGAGCACGUAGGCGGCUCUGCAAGUCAGCUGUGAAAGCCUUUUGCUUAACGGAAGAACGGCAGUUGAAACUACAGGGCUUGAGUGCGGGAGGGGAGAGUGGAACUUCUGGUGGAGCGGUGAAAUGCGUAGAUAUCAGAAGGAACGCCGGCGGCGAAAGCGGCUCUCUGGUCCGUAACUGACGCUGAGUGUGCGAAAGCUAGGGGAGCAAACGGGAUUAGAUACCCCGGUAGUCCUAGCCGUAAACGAUGGGCACUAAGUAGAG